rnacentral:rRNA from 2 species
UUAAAUUGAGAGUUUGAUCCUGGCUCAGGAUGAACGCUGGCGGCGUGCCUAAUACAUGCAAGUCGAACGAAACUUCUUUAUCACCGAGUGCUUGCACUCGCCGAUAAAGAGUUGAGUGGCGAACGGGUGAGUAACACGUGGGCAACCUGCCCAAAAGAGGGGGAUAACACUUGGAAACAGGUGCUAAUACCGCAUAACCAUAGUUACCGCAUGGUAACUAUGUAAAAGGUGGAUAUGCUACCGCUUUUGGAUGGGCCCGCGGCGCAUUAGCUAGUUGGUGAGGUAAAGGCUUACCAAGGCAAUGAUGCGUAGCCGAACUGAGAGGUUGAUCGGCCACAUUGGGACUGAGACACGGCCCAAACUCCUACGGGAGGCAGCAGUAGGGAAUCUUCCACAAUGGGCGAAAGCCUGAUGGAGCAACGCCGCGUGGGUGAAGAAGGUCUUCGGAUCGUAAAACCCUGUUGUUAGAGAAGAAAGUGCGUGAGAGUAACUGUUCACGUUUCGACGGUAUCUAACCAGAAAGCCACGGCUAACUACGUGCCAGCAGCCGCGGUAAUACGUAGGUGGCAAGCGUUAUCCGGAUUUAUUGGGCGUAAAGGGAACGCAGGCGGUCUUUUAAGUCUGAUGUGAAAGCCUUCGGCUUAACCGGAGUAGUGCAUUGGAAACUGGGAGACUUGAGUGCAGAAGAGGAGAGUGGAACUCCAUGUGUAGCGGUGAAAUGCGUAGAUAUAUGGAAGAACACCAGUGGCGAAAGCGGCUCUCUGGUCUGUAACUGACGCUGAGGUUCGAAAGCGUGGGUAGCAA